UGAGGAAUCUUGCGCAAUGGGGGAAACCCUGACGCAGCAACGCCGCGUGAGUGAGGAAGGUCUUCGGGUCGUAAAGCUCUGUCAGGCGGGAAGAAAUGCAUGGGGGUGAACAGCCGCCAUGCUUGACGGUACCGCCAGAGGAAGCACCGGCUAACUCCGUGCCAGCAGCCGCGGUAAUACGGGGGGUGCAAGCGUUGUUCGGAAUCAUUGGGCGUAAAGAGCGUGUAGGCGGCUUGGUAAGUCAGAUGUGAAAGCCCUGGGCUCAACCCGGGAAGUGCAUUUGAAACUGCCAGGCUCGAGUAGGGGAGAGGGAAGUGGAAUUCCUGGUGUAGAGGUGAAAUUCGUAGAUAUCAGGAGGAACACCGGUGGCGAAGGCGACUUCCUGGCCUUAUACCGACGCUGAGACGCGAGAGCGUGGGUAGCAAACAG
rnacentral:rRNA from 1 species